GGAAUAUUGGACAAUGGGCGCAAGCCUGAUCCAGCCAUGCCGCGUGUGUGAAGAAGGCCUUCGGGUUGUAAAGCACUUUUGUUGGGGAAGAAAAGACACCGGUUAAUACCCGGGGUUUCUGACGGCACCCACAGCAUAAGCACCGGCUAACUUCGUGCCAGCCGCCGCGGUAAUACGCAGGGUGCAAGCGUUACUCGGAAUUACUGGGCGUAAAGCGUGCGUAGGUGGGGAGUUAAGUCUGUCGUGAAAGCCCCGGGCUCAACCUGGGAAUGGCGAUGGAUACUGGCUCGCUAGAGUGCGGUAGAGGAGAGUGGAAUUCCCGGUGUAGCAGUGAAAUGCGUAGAGAUCGGGAGGAACAUCAGUUGCGAAGGCGGCUCUCUGGACCAGCACUGACACUGAGGCACGAAAGCGUGGGGAGCAAAC
rnacentral:rRNA from 1 species